rnacentral:SRP_RNA from 1 species
AAGCUGUAAUGGCUUCAAUUUAGUGGGACAGGACAAUUUAUCAUUUCUGGCCUGGGAACGAAACUUCCUCUCGGCCGGACAAGUUUGCUAGUUACUCCGAGUAACAGGUUUGUAUCACGUGUUCGUUUUGUUUCGAGAUCACGAGGUCGGCCGCAGCUUGAUGAGGUAGCCGUCUACCUGUGCCUUUUCUUCAGGAUUCUCCGGUUUUCCGGAAAAUCGGCACGGGCCCAGAAUUGUGUGCCCCGGUUAAGUGUUCGAUUCUUGCAGGUGUCAUCAGGGAGUUUGGGAAGCCAGGCUCUUUUCUGUUGGCAGCAAUGCAGCAUGGCAUGAAGCCGCGCCAGAACCGCUCUAGGGGAGUUUCAUCCAGCAAGGGCACUGGCGGCCUGUGAAGGAGGCGACCGGGAUUACGCGCAAUGUGGGAACUGAGGAUUUACGGGUGGCGCCUCGUGAUGGGGACUAUUUCCGGUGUGUCUGAACCGUUUAUU